UUUUCUUUUGCCUUUUGAAGGUCCUGUGUAUCCUUCACCUAUUUCGAACACCACCUCUUCCAGGAGCCUUUUGCUCUCCAGUUGGGAUCAGCUACUCCUUUCAUGCUGCAGGCUGAUCCCAUCCAUGCCUCUGAGUACACAACUGGGAAUAGCAGCUGAUGGAGCGAUCAAUCCAAGUGGCAAAUCUGGAGAUGUCACUACCUUGCUUGAAGCGUGUCAGUGGUUCUCAUGCCUGGCUCAGUUCCAGUGGGCAUCCACACUGUUGCUGCUUUUCAUGCUAGAAGAGACCAUAGUGGGUGGACUUCAGAGGAGUUUUUGAUGAUGGGAAGAGUCUUUAAAACUGACUGCGCCUUAUAUUAAUAAAAUAUGGAGUCUAGGUCUAUUUGAAAUUUAC
rnacentral:lncRNA from 12 species